GUGUAAUUACAUUAUUGAGCGCUCAGCUAGCUUGUGUGAGCAUGCAUGCGCAUUUGCAUUUGCAUUUGCAUUUGCAUUUACAAGAGCUACUCCUAGUUGCCAGGACGGGACAAGAGUGCGUGAAAACUCAGCCGCCCAGGGCCUCUUCUACAACAUAUGAGUGUCAAACCCCAGAAUCUUCAACAUUACGCAGAUCUGAAACACUCCAAUGCUCUUCAAUCUAGUAAGUCACUGGUAGUGACUGCAUGCAUCUGCCGCUGUCUCCAGCCUAGAAUUUGGCUAACUUUCAAUCUGACAUGCCGCAAAAGCAGGUGCACAAAAACCGAAGUAACAAUGCCUCAGAGACACUGGCUCAAUCCACCAAGGCCACGUCAUAUUGAUCUGUCUAGACCCAUUCCCAUGUAAUGGACUAGUAAGAAUUGUCAUGGUCGUUACGACACCCUCAGGGAAAUGGUCCAUCGACAGCUUGAUGUAAGGAACAGCUAUUCAUUGAAGUCCUAUAUAAGACAUAUGUAUUCAGGAGUGACUAAGACAUGCUUAUGCACGAAGGCAGGCCUUGCGAGAGUGCUUGCAGAGUACAGGAAUCCUUUGUUGCUUCAAGGACAGGCACACCACCACAAACCAGACAUCAUUGUAACCAUAAAUAUUACAAUCCAAUCUUCUCUGGUGGUGCGAUAGCCUUGCAGAAUUCGCAUGCUUUCAUCAUUGCUCAUCUUUGACGGCGCCGUUCGGCACACCUGCAGCCUGCUGCUGCUGCUGUUGCUGCUGCAGCAGCUGCGCUGUCGUUGGCGUAGCCGACAGCGCCUUGUCAUGUGCACCUGUCCGCAGCUGAUCGCUGCUGCCAGGCAGGCUUGGCUGCUGAGGAAAGGACCCAGCAUGCUGCGCUUGCUGCUGCGAGGGGCGCAGCUCAGGCUGGAUCCCGGGCGGCCCGGCCGG
rnacentral:lncRNA from 1 species